rnacentral:rRNA from 1 species
CGGGACGGGGUGGAGUAAUGUCUGGGAAACUAGCCUGAUGGAGGGGGAUAACUACUGGAAACGGUAGCUAAUACCGCAUAACGUCGCAAGACCAAAGAGGGGGACCUUCGGGCCUCUUGCCAUCGGAUGUGCCCAGAUGGGAUUAGCUAGUAGGUGGGGUAACGGCUCACCUAGGCGACGAUCCCUAGCUGGUCUGAGAGGAUGACCAGCCACACUGGAACUGAGACACGGUCCAG